rnacentral:tRNA from 3 species
GUCGGGAUAGCCAAGCUUGGUCCAAGGCGGACGCCUCGAAAUCUCAAAACAGGAUAGCGUCUGUGCUCUGCACACGGGGGUUCAAAUCCCUCUCCCGGCG